CAGACUCAGAGAAUCCUCCUGCCUUAGCCUCCUGAGUGCUGGGAUUACAGGUGUGUGCCACCAUGCCCGGCACUCUAUAGCUUUCUGAAGCUCCCUGGGAGACAAAAUGCAGUCAUUUUCCUAGAAGCCCAGUUACUUCAUUGAUCUUGGCAUGCGAAGAAAAAAACUGAAAAAUGAGUCCCGCAAGCACCCUGUCAUCUGCAGGCAGCAGCUGUCUUUAAAAUCCGAUCGGAACACCUGGAAAGGAUCACAGUAGACGCAGGGGUAGUGCUGGAUGUGGGAAGCCCCGAGAAACCCCUCCUGGAAGUUCCGGGGAGCCUCAGUACCAAGCACAGAAGUUUAGAGCCUGAAAACUGUGAUGUUAAAACCUCAAGCCUCGACUCUUGAGGGACCUUUCUCCGCCCGCCUCUUUCUCACCAUCGUGCUAACAGGGACGGUUUAUUUCUAGUAGCUGUGUCCCGUCCCUCCUCCUCAGGCCUCUGCUGUUUUGGGUCUGGCAGACGUUGCUCCCAGGUCUCCAGUCUCGCCAAGGGGAAGGGAGGCGGAGGCCAGGUGCCAGGGGGAGGGUCUCUGUGCCUCCAGCUGUUGUCAGGAAGUGCCACAGGCCAGUGGCUUGCGGUGAGAACCUCAGCCACGAUUCCCGCCCAAGGUCAGGUGACAGCUCAGCUUGGCCAGGUUCUGGGACGGCCACUGCCUGGCUCAGCUGGCGCCACUUCCUGAUCAUCUCCGUGUUUGGCAAAGAUUGAUGCUGAAUCCCGCCUCUGUUCCAGACUGCUUGACAACAGAGAAGGGUUUUUUGUUUUUUUUUUUUGAGACAGGGUUUUGCCAGGUAGCCCAGGCUGGCCUUGAACUCUCAGAGAUGCCCCUGGCUCUGCCUCUCUCAGGACAGAGUGCUGGGAUUCCAGGCGAGCACGCCUGGCCAGGGGAGGUCAUUCUUUAAACUCACAAAGCUUUUUGCAGUUGUGUCUUCAUCGCCUCGUCCCAUAAUGUGGCAGAGAAGGGGGCCGCCCAGCUAUCAGGCCAGAGCAGCAAAGUUCCUGUGGAGGAGUCACGGCCCAUGAGCCUCUGGAGAAAAGCCCCCCGGGACCCCCGCCAGCUCCACUGCCAAGGCCCACAGAUAAGCAGCUGAGCUGGAAAAGGUACCACGAGUGGGGCCAAAUCAGAGUCAUUUGUUGUCUGCUUUGCCUCCCACGUUUCAGAUGUGCUGGGCGAUCGCAGGAGGACUGCAAAUCCCUGGGAUCUCAGAAACUGACAAAUCAGUGGUAAUUUGUGUUUGCAAAGAGAAGUUGGCUUCUUUGUGUCCUGACCGCCUGAUGUCUUCCCCAUGCAGGACGAAGCCCAAGGCCCAGCCACACUCAGCCCUGGGGCCUGGCCUUCACAGCUUCUGGAGUCACGCGCUAGAUAAAUUCCUGCUUGUCGUAAAUUA